UGCGUAGGGUGCGAGCGUUGUCCGGAAUUACUGGGCGUAAAGAGCUCGUAGGUGGUUUGUCGCGUUGUUCGUGAAAACUCACAACUCAAUUGUGGGCGUGCGGGCGAUACGGGCAGACUGGAGUACUGCAGGGGAGACUGGAAUUCCUGGUGUAGCGGUGGAAUGCGCAGAUAUCAGGAGGAACACCGGUGGCGAAGGCGGGUCUCUGGGCAGUAACUGACGCUGAGGAGCGAAAGCGUGGGGAGCGAACAGG
rnacentral:rRNA from 1 species